GGGGUAAGAUGAAUUCGAAUGGAAGCUUCUAACUUCUGAUUCAAGCGGUUUAAGUCCGUUUUUACACCU
rnacentral:tRNA from 1 species